CGGAGAUAACAUCGCAGGCAACCCUACCACAGCCAAGGUGGAGGAGGAAGUGAUGUUUUACCAUGGUAACCAUAGAUGAUGUCAAUUUGAAUGAAAUGACAGCUAUUGCUGCUGGAUAAGGAUGGAGACAGUGUGGAGGGCUCAUAGUGAGAAAGCUGUCUGGAGAGUAGGCAAAGAAGGAAAGUCAGUCUAUAAGGAAUUCGUGCAGUGCUUCAGGAACUCCUUCAAGAGCAGCCAUUUUUGAAGAGCAUCACAAGGGGUGGGCCACACAGCUAGCCUCACGUGGUUCGCAGCACUCUUCAAAACUGCUUUUAAAGUAAAUUCUUGGUAUUCAUUUUGUUAUUUUUGCUUGCCACUUGACUCCAGUUGAGGGAAAACCAAACUCUAUGUUUUCAGAUUUUGUUCGUGUUCUUCAUCUUGGACUUUAAAAAGUAUCUUUUUUAAUUAUAUGGAGCUUAUUUAGUCCUUUAUAUAAUGUGCC
rnacentral:lncRNA from 1 species